rnacentral:rRNA from 1 species
AGUGAACGCUGGCGGUAGGCCUAACACAUGCAAGUCGAACGGCAGCACAGUAAGAGCUUGCUCUUACGGGUGGCGAGUGGCGGACGGGUGAGGAAUACAUCGGAAUCUACUUUUUCGUGGGGGAUAACGUAGGGAAACUUACGCUAAUACCGCAUACGACCUACGGGUGAAAGCAGGGGAUCUUCGGACCUUGCGCGAUUGAAUGAGCCGAUGUCGGAUUAGCUAGUUGGCGGGGUAAAGGCCCACCAAGGCGACGAUCCGUAGCUGGUCUGAGAGGAUGAUCAGCCACACUGGAACUGAGACACGGUCCAGACUCCUACGGGAGGCAGCAGUGGGGAAUAUUGGACAAUGGGCGAAAGCCUGAUCCAGCCAUACCGCGUGGGUGAAGAAGGCCUUCGGGUUCUAAAGCCCUUUUGUUGGGAAAGAAAAGCAGCAGGUUAAUACCCCGCUGUUCUGACGGUACCCAAAGAAUAAGCACCGGCUAACUUCGUG